rnacentral:rRNA from 1 species
CCUACGGGUGGCAGCAGUGAGGAAUAUUGGUCAAUGGCCGGAAGGCUGAACCAGCCAAGCCGCGUGAAGGACGAAGGUGCCAAGCAUUGUAAACUUCUUUUGUCAAGGGACAAAAUCAGGCUCGAGAGCCUGACCGAGGGUACUUGAAGAAAAAGCAUCGGCUAACUCCGUGCCAGCAGCCGCGGUAAUACGGAGGAUGCGAGCGUUAUCCGGAUUUAUUGGGUUUAAAGGGUGCGUAGGCGGACUGUUAAGUCAGCGGUAAAAGCGCGGGGCUCAACCCCGCCGAGCCGUCGAAACCGGGGUCCUUGAGUACCGGAGAAGUACGCGGAAUGCGUGGUGUAGCGGUGAAAUGCAUAGAUAUCACGCAGAACCCCGAUUGCGAAGGCAGCGUACCGGCCGGUCACUGACGCUGAGGCACGAAAGCGCGGGUAUCGAACAGGAUUAGAUACCCGGGUAGUC